rnacentral:rRNA from 1 species
GAUCAACGCUGGCGGCGUGCAUGAGACAUGCAAGUCGAACGGACACUCAGGGCUUGCUCUGUGUGUUAGUGGCGGACGGCUGAGUAACGCGGAGGUGACCUGCCCCGAAGUGGGGCAUAACUGCCCGAAAGGGUGGCUAAUACCGCAUGUGGUGAUGCGUUCAUUCGCAUCAGUAAAGCCGCAAGGCGCUUCGGGAGGGGCCUGCGUCCGAUUAGCUCGUUGGUGGGGUAACGGCUCACCAAGGCGACGAUCGGUAGGUGGUCUGAGAGGACGAUCACCCAGACUGGGACUGAGACACGGCCCAGACUCCUACGGGAGGCAGCAGUCGGGAAUUUUGCGCAAUGGACGAAAGUCUGACGCAGCAACGCCGCGUGAGGGAUGACGGCCUUCGGGUUGUAAACCUCUUUUGUCAGGGACGAUGAUGACGGUACCUGACGAAUAAGCCACGGCUAACUACGUGCCAGCAGCCGCAGUAA